rnacentral:rRNA from 1 species
AGUGAACGCUGGCGGCGUGCCUAAUACAUGCAAGUCGAACGGAGAUUCAGUAGCUUGCUAUUUAAUCUUAGUGGCGCACGGGUGAGUAAUAUAUAGCUAACUUGCCCAUUACUAAGGGACAACAGUUGGAAACGACUGCUAAUACCUUAUACUCCGUAUCUAUAUAAGUAGAUACGGGAAAGUUUUUCGGUAAUGGAUAGGGCUAUAUCGUAUCAGCUAGUUGGUAAGGUAAUGGCUUACCAAGGCUAUGACGCGUAACUGGUCUGAGAGGAUGAUCAGUCACACUGGAACUGAGACACGGUCCAGACUCCUACGGGAGGCGGCAGUAGGGAAUAUUGCUCAAUGGGGGAAACCCUGAAGCAGCAACGCCGCGUGGAGGAUGACACUUUUCAGAGCGUAAACUCCUUUUCUUGGGAAAGAAUUAUGACGGUACCCAAGGAAUAAGCACCGGCUAACUCCGUG